rnacentral:rRNA from 1 species
UACGUAGGGUGCGAGCGUUUAAUCGGAAUUACUGGGCGUAAAGCGUGCGCAGGCGGUCUGUUAAGACCGAUGUGAAAUCCCCCGGGCUUAACCUGGGAACUGCAUUGGUGACUGGCAGGCUUUGAGUGUGGCAGAGGGAGGUAGAAUUCCACGUGUAGCAGUGAAAAUGCGUAGAGAUGUGGAGGAAUACCGAUGCGAAGGCAGCCUCCUGGGCCAACACUGACGCUCAUGCACGAAAAGCGUGGGGGAGCAAAACAGG